rnacentral:rRNA from 1 species
GUGGGGAAUAUUGCACAAUGGGGGAAACCCUGAUGCAGCGACGCCGCGUGAGUGAAGAAGUAUUUCGGUAUGUAAAGCUCUAUCAGCAGGGAAGAAAAUGACGGUACCUGACCAAGAAGCCCCGGCUAACUACGUGCCAGCAGCCGCGGUAAUACGUAGGGGGCAAGCGUUAUCCGGAUUUACUGGGUGUAAAGGGAGCGUAGACGGCUGUGCAAGUCAGAAGUGAAAGCCCGGGGCUCAACCCCGGGACUGCUUUUGAAACUGCGGAGCUGGAGUGCAGGAGAGGUAAGCGGAAUUCCUGGUGUAGCGGUGAAAUGCGUAGAUAUCAGGAGGAACACCAGUGGCGAAGGCGGCUUACUGGACUGUAACUGACGCUGAGGCACGAAAGCGUGGGGAGCAAAUAGGA